GACACCAACAAUUACGGGAUACCCUCCAGAUGGCAAUCUCCCCAAUUAUGUCUCCUACAUCCCCGAGAUAUCUUUCCAUACUCAUCCUUCCGAGGAUCUCGCCGUGAUCCAUGGACACGGCCCAUUACUCCAUCUAUAAAAAGGCCGCUCCCCCAUUAUGCAAACGUACGGAGUUAUUUUACUUGUUGUAAUCACCUUGGUCUGAUCUCCACGCCGGAGGAGUUUUGAGCGGCCUCGCCCCGGCCGUUUACUUUUGUUCGUCUGUGCAAGUCGCCCUUCAAGUAUCCGAGGUCCAGUGCCGAGGAGACCGAGCAAUAUUGACUGUUGGUUGCUCGCCCAGUUUUUUACCACAAC
rnacentral:lncRNA from 1 species